rnacentral:RNase_P_RNA from 1 species
CGAAGAAGCACAGGCGAUCGCCGGUUUCGAAAGAGGCGGGAGGAAAGUCCGGGCUCCACAGGACGGGAUGGUUCCUAACGGGAACCGGGGGUGACCCCAGGGACAGUGCCACAGAGAGCAGACCGCCUGUUGACGCUUCGGCGACGGCAGGUAAGGGUGAAAGGGUGAGGUAAGAGCUCACCAGCUUCGCUGGCGACAGCGAAGGCUCGGUAAACCCCAUCCGGAGCAAGGCCGAAUAGGGAGGCGUUUGAGGGCGGUCCGUCCGAAGCCUCCGGGUUGGCUGCUUGAGACCGUCGGCAACGGCGGCCCUAGAGGAAUGAUCGCUACCUGACCCGCGGUAACGCGCUUCAGGCACAGAACCCGGCUUAUGGGCUUCUUCGGCCA